rfam:Trichuris suis scaffold47.1, whole genome shotgun sequence.
GCCUCAGUGGCGCAGUCGGUAGCGCGUGAGUCUCAUAAUCUCAAGGUCGAGGGAUCGAAGCCCUCCUGAGGCA